CUCACCUGCUGCUGGAAACAAGGCAAGACCAGCUCCUGAUCAGAUUGAAGAUGCAACUGAUUCCAAAACCCUUGACUUUGGUCAUCACUGAGGAUUCAACAGCCGUGUCUCUCACUUGUAAAGCCAUGGCUGAAGAUGGAGAGCCGGCAAUGUUGUUGGCGGCAACCCCUGCGUUGAGGGCUGCCGGCGCGUAAAUGUACCACCCUAACUGAAAAAUGUCACCGGCACGUCCCUGUCUGAAGUGUUUUGUAGCAGGCCAUGUUGUCAUAACUCAGUCACCCUUAAAUGCCUCUUUCCUCUCUGCUCUGCUGGCCGCA